UUCCUCACAAUUUGUGGUUUUAAGUCCUAGAUGAAACAUUCAUUCAAUUAUGUUGCAAAAAGAACAAUAUUCAAUUACAAAAAGAGUAAAGUUCUUAAUGCAUUCUAAAAUUCUAAUCGAAGGUAACCAUGUACCUUAGCAUUAUUCACUUGUUUAUUUUUAUCAUUGCCAUCCAAGCUCGGAUGCACCUUCAUUGGAUACUUCUUUGAGGAGCAACCAAUCUAGAAGGUUUGACACUCAAUCAACCAAAAAUUUAUUAAACAAAAAGAAAUUUAAACCAAACACACA
rnacentral:lncRNA from 1 species